CGGACGGGUGAGUAAUACUUGGGGAUCUGCCUGAUGGCGGGGGACAACCACUGGAAACGGUGGCUAAUACCGCAUAAUGCCUACCGGCCAAAGUGUGGGACCUUCGGGCCACAUGCCAUCAGAUGAACCCAAGCGAGAUUAGCUAGUUGGUGAGGUAAAGGCUCACCAAGGCGACGAUCUCUAGCUGGUCUGAGAGGAUGAUCAGCCACACUGGGACUGAGACACGGCCCAGACUCCUCCGGGAGGCAGCAGUGGGGAAUAUUGGACAAUGGGCGCAAGCCUGAUCCAGCCAUGCCGCGUGUGUGAAGAAGGCCUUCGGGUUGUAAAGCACUUUCAGUGGUGAGGAAGGCCUUGUCGUUAAUAGCUGCCAGGAUUGACGUUAGCCACAGAAGAAGCACCGGCUAACUCCGUGCCAGCAGCCGCGGUAAUACGGAGGGUGCGAGCGUUAAUCGGAAUUACUGGGCGUAAAGCGCACGUAGGCGGUUUGUUAAGCAAGAUGUGAAAGCCCAGGGCUCAACCUUGGAAUUGCAUUUUGAACUGGCAAGCUAGAGUUUUGAAGAGGGUGGUAGAAUUUCCAGUGUAGCGGUGAAAUGCGUAGAUAUUGGCAAGGAAUACCAGUGGCGAAGGCGGCCACCUGGUCAAAAACUGACGCUGAGGAGCGAAAGCGUGGGGAGCAAACAGGAUUAGAUACCCUGGUAGUCCACGCCGUAAACGAUGUCAACUAGUUGUU
rnacentral:rRNA from 1 species